GAUGAACGCUAGCGGCAGGCCUAACACAUGCAAGUCGAACGGUAACAUUGGUUGCUUGCAACCAGAUGACGAGUGGCGCACGGGUGCGUAACGCGUAUACAAUCUGCCUCUUACAGGGGGAUAGCCUUUGGAAACGAAGAAUAAUACCCCAUAGUAUGUAGAUGCCGCAUGGUAUUUGCAUUAAAGAUUUAUCGGUAAGAGAUGAGUAUGCGUCCUAUUAGCUAGAUGGUGUGGUAACGGCACACCAUGGCAACGAUAGGUAGGGGCCCCGAGAGGGGGAUCCCCACACUGGUACUGAGACACGGACCAGACUCCUACGGGAGGCAG
rnacentral:rRNA from 1 species